rnacentral:rRNA from 1 species
UACGUAGGGUGCAAGCGUUGUCCGGAAUCACUGGGUGUAAAGGGUCCGCAGGCGGGCAAGCAAGUCGGUGGUGAAAUCUCGUAGCUCAACUACGAAACUGCCAUCGAUACUGCUUGUCUUGAGUUCGAGAGAGGAUGAUGGAAUUCAUGGUGUAGCGGUGAAAUGCGUAGAGAUCAUGAAGAACACCGGUAGCGAAGGCGGUCAUCUGGCUCGAUACUGACGCUCAGGGACGAAAGCGUGGGGAGCAAACAGG